CAGCCCCAGAUGACCGGAAGGACGGGUGAAUACUUCUGGAAGUAGUGUGGCACAGCCCUGCUCAAGCUACGAGGCAGUAGGCAAGCCUAAUCAUGUCCAGAACAAAGCCAGUACCAAGAGUGGAGCGUUUUGUGGUAUGCACAGGUAGGGGGGUUAAUUUGUAGCCAAGGGUAAAAGUAGUUCCUGACUUCUACCAACUGGAGAAACUGGGAAAUUGAGAGUAGCCCAGAGUGUCCCUUCCUCCUCUUGCCCAUGCAAGGGAACUGAGACAUAGCUCCACCCAUUGUGGACAGCGUCUUCUGGCUCUAUCCAAUCAGAAGGGUUGGAGACAUCUCCUGGAAGCAGUGUAACCCAGCAGCACUGGAACUGAGGACUGCUGUUUUCCUGCCCACCAUGUGACUCACAAGAUUAGAAACCAGGCCUUUCUUAAAGUCCCUUCCAUCAAGAUUCUAUGAAUUUUGUUCAUGCUGGGUGUCCACGAAUCACUCCGUCCUAUAGAUGGUCGGGCUGAGUCUCAAGGAUUGAAUGACCUGCACUCUGAAAAUCCCUACAGAGCAAUGACAGAGCCAGUUUCAUAAGACAUUCCCAGAAGAGGAAGGGAGUAGCUCACAUAUGCUCACCCUGCUACAGACAUCGUGUCCAACCAUGCUCAGAAGAAGAGGACAUCUUUCAGACCUCCAUGGCCCACAGCAGCUGCACUCUGGUCUGCUAUUACCUGGAGUUCUUUGCCAUCUGCUUACUAGGCUCUAAUAUUUAUCUCUAUCUCAGGUGAGAACAUUUCCCUUAGAGUGGCCACCUCUUUUCUGAAGAGGGGGGCAGGAACGUAAAGGAUGGGAAAAGAGGGGGUCCCGUGCAAGACGGUGGGAGGUAGUGGCCAGAGAGCAAAGUGGAUCCCCAGGUAAUGCUCUCUAGAGAUAUGGGAGAAGAAAUUCAGCACACAGUCUGCUGUUUCGUGUGAAGUUUCUUUCUGAGCUGUGCUCUAACGCCGGCCUCCCUCCAUUUCUCCAAGCAAGACUUCAGCAAAAUCUGCUGUCUCUGACUUCUUGGCAAGAGAGCUGAGCUUCAGAGACCGUGUCUAGCUUGUGGUCAGGUGAUGUGGUGAGUUGAGAUAUUACCUCACCUUUGAAGGCACACCACACCGGCUGGCUAAGUGACCUAGAUUUCAGGGGAAACAAGAAGUUGAGAACAGUAACUAUGGACGUGUAAGUCCCCAAAAUUCUAGAAACCUUGGGGACAUCACUGAUUUCCCACAGAAUGUGGGAUGAGGGAGGUUCGAACAAUUACUUUUUACAUUAAACACAUGAGUGCUCCCAGUAGGGACUCGGAAACAAUUCUGCUAGUGAGUGUAACUGUGUCCUUUCCUGCCAGGACAGAAAGGUUCUGGAAGGUUAGGGAGAUUAGUUUGAACUGAAGUCAGGAAAAGCCACUGCUGCCUGCCUGCACUUAGCCCUGAGGACCCCCUUUGCCGCUCUCUGAAAUCCAGCUUCCAUCCCUUUGC